rnacentral:lncRNA from 1 species
AUUUCCCUAAGAGAGUCGGCGGGCAGCUCAGGGACCAACAACUUGUGCAGAGAACACAGCAUGCAGUGGUCCUGCUCUGCCACCAUGACACCAUUUGCUGACAGGGAUCUCAGCUGGUUUCUGCGAUGGAACAUGGGAGUGAAACUUAAGGCACAUCUAAGAAUGCUCUGUGUAUUGGAUUUCGCUAAAAAGCAGUCAACUUUAAGCUUGAGAUCCUGCAUCCCUUCCUGGAUAGGGCAAGAAGUCACCAACUUCUCUCGCUGAAGUCACACCCAGCCCACAUCCUCUCCAUCCUCCCACAUGAACUCCUCUCAUCCUAUCCGCUCUGAACGUGUGCACCUGCCCACACCCACACCUGCCUCCUCCAGUCAAGAAACAGGAUACAGUACAACGAGAUUAACCAGGAAAGAGCCAGCAACCUGUUCAACCUCCCGUCCAGAUGGAGGUGUCAGCCUCAGCCAUAAGCCUGAUCGUGGCGAACAAUUUCCAGUGCUGAACAUCCCAAAACUCAUCUGCUGGGCAUUAAAACUCGAGAAAUUCCCACAUUAACUACUGCCAGAGUUUUUGUCAGCAAAAUAUAACCAUGGUUUAUCACCCAAAGUUGAUACAUUUUUAUCCAAAAGGAAAUACAGUUGAUCCUCAUUACUCACAGAGCCUGUAUUUGUGAAUUUGUCUAUUCGCUAGCAUUUACUUGUAAUCCUAAAAAUCAAUUCUUGUGGUGCCUUCAUUGUGGUUCAUGGACAUGCACAGAGGGUGGAAUUCUCAAG